GAUGAACGCUGGCGGCGUGCCUAAUACAUGCAAGUCGAGCGAACAGAUAAGGAGCUUGCUCCUUUGACGUUAGCGGCGGACGGGUGAGUAACACGUGGGUAACCUACCUAUAAGACUGGGAUAACUUCGGGAAACCGGAGCUAAUACCGGAUAACAUUUGGAACCGCAUGGUUCUAAAGUGAAAGAUGGUUUUGCUAUCACUUAUAGAUGGACCCGCGCCGUAUUAGCUAGUUGGUAAGGUAACGGCUUACCAAGGCAACGAUACGUAGCCGACCUGAGAGGGUGUUCGGCCACACUGGAACUGAGACACGGUCCAGACUCCUACGGGAGGCAGCAGUAGGGAAUCUUCCGCAAUGGGCGAAAGCCUGACGGAGCAACGCCGCGUGAGUGAUGAAGGGUUUCGGCUCGUAAAACUCUGUUAUUAGGGAAGAACAAACGUGUAAGUAACUGUGCACGUCUUGACGGUACCUAAUCAGAAAGCCACGGCUAACUACGUG
rnacentral:rRNA from 1 species